CAUGCCGAUGAUCGAAAUGAACUCACAUGCAGACAAAUCUGUCCUUCAGAUUAGUUUACUGAGAAAAUAGGGGAAAGUUCAUAAUGAAUGCAGUGUGUGUGUAAGUGCUAAAAAAAACUCCUUUUGGACACAUCCUUACUUUUAAAAACAAUAUUCAAAAUAAAGGCAAAUAAAGGAUUUUUUUUGUGUGUGUACAAAACUCAGUUUUAUUGUAUAAAGGAUUUUAUGUGCUGGUUAUUGAGAAUGAUUAUUUCUAGUUCUAAAAUGAUUAUUAAAUGAUAAAAAUGAGCUUUAAUCUUUAAUCAGAUACAUUUACAUAUGUAGUGGUUAUAAUAAACAAACCCUUGAGACGUCAUACAGCAUGUUACAGAAAUACACAAGAUGCUUUCAGCAAGUCAUUUGUUAUGAGUCUAAAAAAACAAAAAAACAAAAAAAAAACAUGGACUUACAGUAUGUGUCACUAUGGAUGAUGACAGAUUCACAUUGCCAGGCAUUUCAAUUCAAUUUGUGCAUGAUGAAAAUAUCAUAACAUUUUCUUUGAAAGUUGAGUGUAGAAUGUCCAGGUUAAAAAAAUUAUAAUUAUAGUGUCUGGACUGUUCAAACUGACUGUACAUCCACUAAAAACAUAAAAGAAAAAUAUACAGUACACUUGAAGUAUUCUUGAAAUACAGCAAAAAAAAAAUUAAAUAAAAUAAAUUGCAUUGAUUUGUUGAUGUGAAAAUAUAUUAAUCUGCAAUUUUUAAAUGUUUUGAUAGGAAUGUUAAAUUGUAUUGUCUUCAUUUUGUUUUGUCAAACCGAGGUAGCUGUAAUUUAGUUUCAGGUCACAGUUAAUAUUGUUCAUCUAAACCACUAUAAUCAUAUAUACACACUUUGUAUUUUAGUCAUUUUCAUCUUGACUUGUUUAUGUGUUAUUUAAGAAAAAAAUCUAUUCUGAAAUAUAAACUACCAAAUCCAUCAAGUUGCAUUAAUACUUAAAAAAAAAAAAAGUUUACACACAAUAAUUCUACGGGGAAAAAUUACAUUUUAUGUAUGUUUGAGUAAAUCUCACAAAACCUGUCAAGAACUGGAUCAUAUUUCAUCCCAAAAUCAAAAGAAAGAAAUAAGAAAUUAUAUGUUGCACUGAAGCCUUUUUUUUUUUUUUUUUUUUGGUAACAGGGAUUUUAGGGAGCAUUUUAUGCUUAAUUGUCAUUAUUUUAUCUCUAUUUUGAAAAUGACUGUAUAACAGUAAUGUGAAUCAUCACUGAGGGUCUGAAUACAUUACAUUCAUGAGAAUUUGGUGAAAAAGAUUUUCUUUAUAUGUGACCCUGGAGCACAAAACCAGUCUUAAGUCGCUGGGGUAUAUUUGUAGCAAUAGCCAAAAAUACAUUGUAUGUGUCAAAAUUAUUGAUUUUUCUUUUAUGCCAAAAAUCAUUAGGAUAUUAAGUAAAAAUCAUGUUCCAUGAAGAUAUUUUGUAAAUUUCCUACUGCAAAUAUAUCAAAACUUAAUUUUUGAUUAGUAAUAUGCAUUGCUAAGAGCUUCAUUUGAACAACUUUAAAGAUGAUUUUCUCAAUAUUUAGAUUUUUUUGCACCCUCAGAUUCCAGAUUUUCAAAUAGUUGUAUCUCAGACAAAUAUUGUCCUCCUAACAAACCAUACAUCAAUGGAAAGAUUAUUUAUUUAGCUUUCAGAUGAUCUAUAAAUCUCAGUUUUGAAAAAUUGACACUUAAAGGGUUAGUUCACCCAAAUAUUAAAAUUAUGUCAUUAAUGACUCACCCUCAUGUCGUUCCAAACCCG
ensembl:lncRNA